rnacentral:rRNA from 1 species
ACGAAGAGGUAUCGUAAUUGAAGAGGUUUGGAAAGACCCACCACAGAAGGUAAUAGUCCUGUAUGUUAAACGAGAAGACUUCAGAUAUGAUCCAGAGUACCACGGGACACGUGAAACCCUGUGGGAAGCAGGAGGGACCACCCUCCAAGGCUAAAUACUACCUAGUGACCGAUAGCGUAUAGUACCGUGAGGGAAAGGUGAAAAGAACCCCGGGAGGGGAGUGAAAUAGAACCUGAAACCCUGCACUUACAAGCUGUGGAAGCACAUUUCUUGUGUGACCGCGUACUUUUUGUAGAACGGGCCAACGAGUUACGUUAAGUAGCAAGGUUAAGCACUUAAGGUGCGGAGCCGUAGCGAAAGCGAGUUUUAACUGAGCGUUCAGUUACUUGACGUAGACCCGAAACCGGGCGACCUACCCAUGAGCAGGAUGAAGCGAAAGUAAAAUUUCGUGGAGGUCCGAACCCACGAGCGUUGAAAAGCUCGGGGAUGACUUGUGGGUAGCGGUGAAAUUCCAAUCGAGCCCGGAGAUAGCUGGUUCUCCCCGAAAUAGCUUUAGGGCUAGCCUCAAGGUGAGAGAUACGGAGGUAGAGCACUGAAUGUCCUAGGGGGUAUUGCACCUACCGAAGACUAUCAAACUCCGAAUGCCGUCAUCUUAUACUUGGGAGUCAGACUGUGGGUGAUAAGAUUCAUAGUCGAAAGGGCAACAGCCCAGAUCGUCAGCUAAGGUCCCUAAAUGUAAGUUAAGUGGUAAAGGAUGUGGGAUUGCACAGACAACCAGGAUGUUGGCUUAGAAGCAGCCACUCAUUCAAAGAGUGCGUAAUAGCUCACU